UCUCCUAGCAUUCCUCUCCAAAUAUAUAAUUCUAUACUGAUUCAUUUGAUUUUUCUCCAUUUAGGAAACUUAAUGAUAUAAAAAUCAGCACAUAAUUCCAAUAUAUCUAGAACGUUGAAAACUACUAGAAUUUACACAUGGGUGUUUGAGUUGUCUAUGUCUAGCAAUGCAACUAUCAACUCUUGAAUGGAUAUCCAGAAUAAUGGCUAUCACUUGCAUGUGUUAGGACUCCUCUAUUGUUGUAGGUUCAAUUUCGUCAUUGUAUGUUAGUUUUGUUCUUUGUUGGUGAUGUGAGUGAUGGAUUGUUUCUUUUAUGUCUGUAGGUUUUGUGUCUUUGUUGCACAAGAAAUGAACUCACACUCAAACGUCAAUCCAUGUAAUCAAGGAGUAAGGGAGUCACAGUCACACGUUAAUCCAUAUGAUCAAGUGAUGGAUCUAGAGUCACAUGUCAAUCCUUCUAAUCAACAACUAAUGGACUUCCCUCAAUCAGAAGAAGUAGAAUCAACAGACGAAGAAGUGAUUACAACUUUGCAUCCUAACGAAUUAAUCCCACAAGCACCUGAUGAAUUAAAAUGAAACUUGGGAAGAAAUUCAUUUCAAAGAAUGUUGCUCAUAGAUUAUAUACUGCAUAUGCAAGAAUUUGUAGGUUUAGCAUACAAAAAAGUUAAUGUUGAAAGUCUCAAAAACUGGUGAACUGCUAAUGAGGAUUUUGAGAUGUUCGAAAGAAGAGAUACGUUGUAAGUGCAAUUUGGAAAGAACAUAUACGAGGAAGAGACCAGGAAUGAUAACAAGAUGUGAAUGCCUAACAAAGAUUGUUGUCAAUAAAAGAAGAGUGUAGCUACAUAGGCUCUAAUCAAGUUUGUAGAAAAGCAUAGUUACUAGUUAAUAACUCCAACAAAUCUCAUUGUCUAAGAUUGCAUAGAAUGCAUCAAAUUCUCAAUUGAAUGUGAUUGAAAAAAUGAAUGUUUAAUCCAAAUGGCAUUACUACCCAUUAUCGACAAAAUGGCUUGAACUACACCCAUUGGGCUUUUUGAAUGACUAGUAAUGCCAUCUGGACUGAAAAAGAGUUCCCUGUCCCAAUUCCAAAGGCAAAUGGAUGAAAAUUUCAAAUCAUUUCAUCACCAAUUAUAUUGAUGACUUCAUGAUAUUUUCAGAAUCGGUGCAAGAGCAUCUCCAGCAUUUAAAUGAAAUUUGGCAACUGGUCCAGAAUCAUCAGCACAUAGGGCCUUCCAACUCUUCCAUUUGUUCCUGAGUUGUGGUUACAUAAGCUACUUUUGGGGGUGAUUUACCAUCAAUGGCCAUUGUUGUUCUAGGCCUUCCUAUAUAGUGAUUUGUGCAUAUCAUACAAAAUGAUGGGUUUAGUAACAAAGCUUUUUUUAUAUGUUGCUUGCGGAUAAGACUUGCCAGCAUGUCACAUUUAUUUCUUUGUGAGAGCCAUCCAUCAGAUAGAUCCACCAAGCAUGUUUCUUGGCAUCACUAAACUGGUUGGCAUUCAUGUAUGGAGAAGAUGGACAGUUAAAAAAUGUCGAGCAGUGGUUCACCUAUCCCAUACAUUUAGUUCAGCUGAGAGAUUUUGCAUUCUCAACAGUUACUGUGUAAUCUUAAUCUUCAUAUACUUAGUGUUGAUUCCAAAAAUUCUGUUUUGCUUGUGGAUUUAAUGAUGAUGCAGUCAUCUGAAUUUUGAAUUUUUCUUUUAUUGGAACUAAUGAAUAUGAUGACCAAAUUACAGAGAAUAUCACAGGUCUGAGCAAAGCAGAACUGUUGUUGUUGCAUUUCUACUCAAUGAUCUUGUGAUUAUCAGAAGCAGUGGGCCAUCAUUGAAAGAUUACCCUUGUAGUAAGUCCAAUCAAGGUUGUGGAGGUGCCUAAUGUCUCAUGGGAGGACACUGGUGGGUUGGACAAUGUCAAAUGGGAACUUCAGGAGGGAUGAUGCAUCUAAUGGACCACGAUAAAGUGAAUGAAGAUCUUGCAAAGCUGAUGGAGACUGAGGUUCUGAAUGUUCAAUUGAGCUAUGAUGGCCUACAGGUACUGUUACUUGAACUAUGGUUUAUUAUAAGCUCGAGCUGAGAUAUUCAAGGCUGCGGGGGCCUCCGAUAAUCCAUGAAUUUUGGAUGGUUAUCAUGGUAUGUUGGCUGUCCCCAUUUUUAAACUUCUUAGAAAUGUCGUCUGCACCCCUUUCCAACUUUUCUUUUUAAAUAGGGGAGAAACUAGAAAAAUCAACAUCAUUGCCUGAAUUGCUCAGCUCCAUUAAACCUUUGUCUUCCCAUUUAUAAUACUGAGAUCUUUUGUUUGUUCAUGCUGAAUUGCCCUAUUCAAUGAUAAAAAAUUUAAUUCCCUUGACAUUUUGGCUGCAUUUAGCUCAAGCCAUGGGAAAAAUCUUCUUGGUUUUUGGGAUUACUAGACUUCUAAGAAUUUCUGGGAAAACAUGAAAUGAUUUUUAUGUGUACAAGUAAGAUCUCUUUGUUUCCAAUAUGACAAAAAAGAGCAUCUCACAAAAUUUGGAAAUUCCACUAAAGAGUAGAAGAUCCAAAAUCACAAAUUAUUUCUCAAAUGGCCAGGAGUCCACCACAGCUUUAAGCAUGUUGUAGGAUUGAUCUUAGUGCUAGUUGUAUUUAUUUAUCAUGCAAUUUACAAAUGAUGUUGAAACUUCUCUGCAACUCUGAAGGGUCUUAUACAUACAGCGGAUCGGUGUAUGAUGUGUCAGCUUCACAUUCUGGAUCCAUUAUACCAUUCUUUCUCAAUCAAUAAUCAUGAUGAUUCAUUACUGGUAAUGAACUUCUCAAAAAGUCAUGUACACCUUUCAAUCACUGAAAAAGAAAAGGAUCUUUUCAUCUAGGCUUACAACCAUUGUAAUAUGAAGAUAUCUCCCAAGCUGGAGAAUAAUAUCUGUCUCCGCACAAUAUGCAUUUUACAUGCCUGCCAUGAGGAUGCCAUUUGACAUCGCUGGAUAUAUUUUUUGUUGUCAUGAGAGACUGAGUUACCAAUUCUAGGAUUCCAAAACAUUGAAAUGCCAAGAAACAUGUCUCGAUCUUUUUCUGGAUGUAAACUCUAUGCCAAUAACGGUGACUGGUUUUGUACACUGAAAAAAUCAAAUGUUAACCUUGCAGAAAGAAAUACAAAUGGAAAUAAAAUAUCAUUAUUUGCAUUAAUCAAAUUUGGAUCAGUGAACUUUUAUACACUACCACUAUAGAACACAGGAUUUCAUCAAAGAAGAGGUCAGGGAAGCAAAGAAAGCACAGCGGGAGGUAUUUAAACUACAACACAGCUUUUAGUUUUGAUUGGACAAUUUAUAGAACUGUUCACAUUCCUAAGUUUUGAAUACCAAUAUGGUUCCUGCCAUAGGCAAGGCAAGCUCGCAAAAAGGCUGUUGAAGAAAUGGAUGAGGAAACGAAAGCUGCAUAUGAGAAAAUGAGGUUUUACAAGUUCUAUCCAGUGCAGACACUGGAUGUGCGUAACAUAUCCCAAGUGAAGGUGAGGCUUCAUUACUAGUGUUGUAUAUCCUUAACUCCGAGGGAAGGUUAAAUCAUGUGUAAUUCCUUCUACCUGUCCUUUUUUUGGUAUAUGGUGUCCAUUUGAUGGUUGGACCAGCCUGAUUUUCAUACUGGGGCACAUACAUGGUGGACCAAUUGAUGGCGAAGGCCUUUUAAACAUGCUAGAUUGGAAAGUUUUAGGAGAGGCUUGAGCAAAGUGAAGUAUUGUUUAUUUAGAAAUGUGAAUAUAGGAUGUAUUCUAUGAUUUGAUUGCUAUUUGUAAUAAAUGCAUCAUUUUUUU